rnacentral:lncRNA from 1 species
AAAACCACAAAAGAUUUUUUUUGAAAUUCUAGAGUUAGUAUUCUAAAGAAAACAUCUAACAGAAAUAUAAAAACGCCAAUUUUUCUCUGGAUAUUUGAUUUAUUAGACAUAUUUUUUUCCAAUACAAAAUAGGAAAUAUAAUAAUAAAGAAACUCAACAUUACUGUACAAAUCUAGAAGUUAAGAGACGACAUAAAAAGAAAAACAGAAUCAAAAUAUUAAAAAAAAAAGAAAGAAAAGAAAAUCAUCUUUUAAUCCACUCCCGAAUGAGCGAUCCUGCCUGGAUGGUCCCAAGGUGUCUGCCAUGCUUAAACUCCGGUAAAUAGAUCCACACCUAUAUGAGAAAACUAUAACCAAUAGUAUGUGAGAUAAUGACACUCCCUAUUAGACCCAUGCAAGACAUGAUUGAGGCUAUUUUUGCAAAAUGACUUAUGUGGCCAAAAGGUGGCUAGAAGUGCAAAAUUUGGCUAAGACCCCGCGAAGCCAAGAACCUAAGAUUUACUAGGAAGACUGGCCCUAUGUGGGUUGCCUACGUAUCUCGCCCCGAAAGACGAGAAUCNNNNNNNNNNNNNNNNNNNNNNNNNUCUUUUCUUUCUCAUUUUUUCUUUUUCCAUUUGUCCUCAACUAUCAUUGAUCCGCCAAAUGACCUUUUUACCCUUGAAGAAAUGCAACAUGUAGCACAUAGGAUGCAUCAAGAUAGUCUGUUAUUUUGGGUACAACUAUCCUACACGGACCCAACCCCUGUGUUGAGCCCCGUAAGUCAAAUGCACGUGAUGCAACAAACGCUCCUACUAGGGAUCCGACAUUAGGUUAUGUUAUUCUAGGUUUGAAAAUAUAGGUUUAUUUGUUCUAGACCUGGCUUACCCGAGCAGACAGCUCGAGCCGAGGAGGGGCAACGUACCGGGAAUACAGAAGCUUCACCGGCUUUGCAACUUGUCCGAACCUCGUUCUAAAAUUGGAAUGACUCUAAUAGAAGAGAAGUCACACGAAGUGCACACUUCCCAGAUGAUUUAGAAGACUCAGAGAGAGGAGGGUUUCGCAACAUUUUAUAUACAGUUCAACAAUAUCAAAGUGGUAAAAAGCAACAUUUAUCACAUUAGGCCCAAACAUGUAAACAAAACCAGAUAAUAAAUAAAGCCAAAUAUAAUAAUUAUUCUAAGCUCGAAUUCAUGAACCCCAAACCGAAGAUUCUGGGUUACUUUCCCCAACAGAAUCGCCAGAGCUGUCAUACCUCCUUUUUACCUACCCGGAGGGGUAUAAGAAGUGUUUUCCAAUUUAAGUGACAAUUGAAACAGGAUUAAUUAUUAGAAUUCAGAAUCGCCACUUGGGAUAAUUUAUGGUAUCCCAAGUCACCGGUUCAAAUCCCGAAUCGAGGAAAGAUUGACUCUGUUUUAUAGUCCGCGAACACAGAAAUCCGGGUAAGGAAUUCUGUUAAACCGGGAGAAGGUGUUAGGCACUCCCGAGUUCCGUGGUUCUAGCACGGUUGCUCAACUAUUACUAUUGGUCUAAUUAUCUGAUUUUAAAACACUUUUAAACCUAUGUGCAUUUUUAACUUAAAAACCGCUUUUAUUUAUUUAAGGAAUUAUUUCAAGGUUGUUUAAAACACAUCGCGAGCCACGCUACAUGAAAUGCACCCAUGAAUCACGGCACGUUCCAUUUAACCUUGUUGGAAAUUAGAACCGGAUCACAUGAAAUGUUCCUAUUCAAUGCAUAAACUAUGUCCAAAACCCAGAUUUUAAUUAAUUCCGAUUUACGAGAUAAAUGCCGACCCAUCAACCCAGUUAAGUGAAACAGUCCAAAACAUAUGUUCAGCAAUUGUAUAUGAGAUUAACGCUCAUUUUCUUUUAUUUAUUGUAGUUUCUCUUUUUUUUGACUAUUAUUGAAGUAACCAACUCAUUUUCAGAAUCACUAAGAUCUAUUCAAGCAUGUCCAAGAUCAAUAUUAGAUGGGAUUGUUCACAUGUUUUCAACAACGAACAAGAAAUCUUCAUAUUAUGGAAACCAUAUUAACCUAUUUCAAGAACUAAAGGCAUAACGUAGAUUCAAAGAUUUUUUUAAAUUAAAUUUGUUUUAAGAAAAAAUAAAGAACUACUCAAACAAAUAUAAAACUAAGAGUAAAAAUCGUCCACUUAACAAUGACUAGAGUACUGUAGUAAAGAAAACAUAACGUUUCCAUAUGAAAAGAUAAGAGAAGAAUUUAGAAUCAAACCUCAACACUAGAGCCGAAAUUUUCUCAAAAUCAUAUUAAUGAUAGAUCUCAAAACCAAAGUGUACAUCGAACCUCGUCGGAAAAUUGGCAAUAAAGGCUUGGACCCGAAACCUUAACGAAACAACUUCGACAUAGAUCGUAUCUCAGCCAUGAUGAACCCGAAAACAUGUAGCGGCAGAUUCAGCAAUCGAACAAUGCUUCUACAGCUCCAAUGUCACUUGAAUUUCAGAGAAACUUAAGUAGAGGACUGGAAAUUCGGACAACUUUCAAAUCUUCCCUUUUGGUCUCUGAUUUUGUUUGUUUUUGCAUGUGUUCUUGUGUGUGUGUGUGUGUGUGUGUUAAUGGGAUAUGAGAGAACUAGGUCGCUGGAUGUGAGGAUGAAUAAGAAGAACGACGGGGGGUGGUCCUGUUGAAGAAGACGACGACAAAAGGGGCGAGUCUGUUUUUGGAGUUAUACGGGUGAUCCUAUUUUUAGUCUUGAUUUUCUGAUUUUUCAGCUUUUUGGCGUUGUUUUUUUUUGUGGUCUUCUUUUCCACUGAUUGCCUCUAGAUCUAGGGCUCUCUAGAGUGUGUCCCCAUUUUCAGAAAACGACGAGUGCUUAUCUAGCCUCUAGCAUUUCUUUUCAGCUCCUCCUCUUUUUUUGCUGAAGAAGAUGUCCAGUUGCCUAGGUCUUUAUUGUGUAUUUUCAGCCGAUUUUCCUUUUGGGUCCAGGGGUCUAGCUCUUU